rnacentral:rRNA from 1 species
GAUGAACGCUGGCGGCGUGCCUAAUACAUGCAAGUCGAGCGAACAGACGAGGAGCUUUCUCCUCUGACGUUAGCGGCGGACGGGUGAGUAACACGUGGAUAACCUACCUCUAAGACUGGGAUAACUUCGGGAAACCGGAGCUAAUACCGGAUAAUAUAUUGAACCGCAUGGUUCAAUAGUGAAAGACGGUUUUGCUGUCACUUAUAGAUGGAUCCGCGCCGCAUUAGCUAGUUGGUAAGGUAACGGCUUACCAAGGCAACGAUGCGUAGCCGACCUGAGAGGGUGAUCGGCCACACUGGAACUGAGACACGGUCCAGACUCCUACGGGAGGCAGCAGUAGGGAAUAUUCCGCAAUGGGCGAAAGCCUGACGGAGCAACGCCGCGUGAGUGAUGAAGGUCUUCGGAUCGUAAAACUCUGUUAUUAGGAAAGAACAAAUGUGGAAGUAACUAUGCACGUCUUGACGGUACCUAAUCAGAAAGCCACGGCUAACUACGUG